UACGGGGGGGGUAAGCGUUGUUCGGAAUUACUGGGCGUAAAGGGCUCGUAGGCGGCCAACUAAGUCAGACGUGAAAUCCCUCAGCUUAACUCCGAAACUGCAUUCGAUACUGCCGUGCUUGAGGACUGGAGAGGAGACUGGAAUUUACGGUGUAGCGGUGAAAUGCGUAGAUAUCGUAAGGAAGACCAGUGGCGAAGGCGGGUCUCUGGACAGUUCCUGACGCUGAGGCACGAAGGUCAGGGGAGCAAACGGG
rnacentral:rRNA from 1 species